AUCAACAUUAUAAAGCCUCUUUUAUGCUGCCCCCGACGCCACGCCACCCCACCCCACCCACACAGACGCACAAAGAAUUAAAGGGGGAAAAAUUGAUAAUAAAAAUAAAAAUCCAGAGUUGACGUUGCAUAUGGUUAAAAAUAAAAAAUGUCCUAUAGCAAACAGAUAAUUUAGGUAGUUUUAACAUUGUCUUGUUGUUCUUUCUUAGAUUGGAUUAUUAGAUUGAUUCUCUCUUAGCACUGAAACUCCCCCACCAUUCGCUUGUGGACCUUCAUUGCUCAAGUGGUUUAAGAGAUGUUUGGGAAUGUUUAGGAUCAUGUUUUGGAAAUCCAUGCUUUCAGAAGAGCAGAGAAUAUUAAAUUAAACAUCACUCAAAUAACAUUUAGUUUAUAAUAUGUGUAUCAUAUUAUACUUCGGCUGUAUUAAAUUUAAUUUGAUUUUCUUGACUGCAGGCUGCUUGUGACAAGGUCUUAAACAAUCCAGAAGCUGAUUUUGAUGAUGAUUUUAUCGACAUUGAAGCCUUGUUGGAUGAAGACACCUUCAUGCCUACGACAUCUUAAACUUGUCCAUAUUGCUGUAUCCUUUGUAAAAUCUCCACAUAGCUCAGUUAAUAGGUCAAAUUACGUAAUUAUGUUGCACUGGUUGCUCGUAAAUAAGAUUUGAUCGAUUGAUUUGUGCUUAUAUUUGUAGUGGCGAGAACCAACAGAUAAGAGUCGGUACUGGUGCUAAAGAUUAACUCUAUGUAUUUAUGGAGAUUGCUAAGUAAUGCUAAUGUGACAUCUUUAACAUCUCUCCGUGUUUUCACAGUUUUGCUUUUAAUAUAAUGUAAGUUGUCGCAUUACUUUAAUACCAUGUUUGGUCAGGAGGAUUAGAUGAGAUUUAAUGUAUUUACGUAAAAGCAUUUUCAAGAUAUUCUUUAUUUUUAAGGAGCAUAAUUUAAAUAGUUAAUUAAAAUUUUGAAGUAUCCCAACAAGUUGUUUAUAUUUAACACUUAAAAUUACUAUUCCAAAAAAAUGUUUAUUACUUUUAUCUAUCUGUUAUUUUAGCCCUCGUUUAGCUCCCAUUUUUGUCAAAUUUUAAUGGUUGGAAGUGUUUUUUCAAAAAAUGUGGUUGAAAAAGAAUGAAAUGUUUUUAAUUUUCAUGUAAUAUUAUUUUAUGGAAGAUUGUAUGGUUGAAAAUAAGAGGGAAAAAAAAAGAAUGAGAAAGAGAAUGAGGGCCAAAUGGGAAUUUAAUUAGCAUUUCUUUAAAUUAUUUUAUUAUUUUUCUAGAUUGAAAAUUAAAACACUUAGAAUGUAUUUAAUUAUAAAGAGUUUUGGAAUGUAAUUUUAAAAGUCGACUAUUUAAAAUAAAAAAACAUAUCAUGUUUAAAGAGUCUCUUGGAGAUGUUCUUAGUGAGCUCACUAAAAGACUAUCUUUUGACUCUUAAAAGCCAAUUUUUUUUUUUAAAUGACCAUUAUACUUCUACUUUGAAUUAAAAGAAGAAUUAAAAGGGAUUACUUUGACUUUUUUUUUUUUAACUAUGUUUAUUAUUAACAAAAUCUUGUAAUGUUAAAUAUAUGUAUUUAUUUGAUCAUUUAAUUAUUAUAUUGUCUUCUUUAUUAAUAUUGAAAAUCUAUAAAUGGAGAUUUCUCUCUUAUGAACUCUUUAACUUGUAAAAACACUUCUGUUAUGGAAGUUGUUCUCUCCCCCUUUUACCUCAUGAAAGGGGUUGCAAAGCUCUUUGCCAGAUUUUGUGAAAAUAAAUAUUCGCUUUUAGGACUAUUUUAUUAAAAAAAUAAUAAUAAUGAGUAAUAACAACUUCAAAUCUCUUUUCUAAAUCCCAUAAAAUAUAAAUCCUUUAUUGAAACUUGAGACCUUUUUUAGUAAGGAACUGAAAAGCUUUUGUAAAUUUUAGUAGUAAAAUGAUGAGGGUUAUCUUUUAGAGCGAUUGCAUAGUUUGAAGAUAGUUUUCUGUUUGUUGGCGUGUGGGGGGCGAUGAUGAGACAUCCGACAUUGGGUAGGGACUAGUGGUGGAGCUGGAUGAUUUGAGUCUUGAGAUAGGGUUGGGUGGAGCAGUGGGGUUGGAAGUCAUUAGAGAAGAUGAAGUAAUCCCAUUUUUUUUUCUUUUUCGGGUCUAUUUGAUUGCAAGAAUAGAAUUUGGGUGGAAAGAAAAUAAAUUUCAGGAAAUUGAAUUGGCUAGAAGUUGUUUUAUUAAAAAUUGUCAAUUAAAUGUGUUUGAUUGGUAUAAUUUUCCACCUGUAAAAUGUUACAGUUUUGGAUUUUUUGGUAUUCGUUUGACUUCGUUUUAUAUGAAAGUUGUUAAUUAAAGGGAUAAAAUUUGUUACAAUUGUGGAUAGAAUUUAUUUCCAAUGCCCUAAAAAAAAAAAAAAAAAAAAAAAAGAAGAAAACCACAACUGGAAAACCCAUUUUCCCAUCUAACCUAGAAGAAUUGCAAUUCCUCAAAAUGGUGGAAAACUUGGUCACAUGAUGGUGAAGCUAGAAAAACAAUUGCUUAGAAAAAUUUGCCAAUCAAAUACUUGAAAAGGUGGAAAGUGGAAAAGUUUUUCCAUUUUCCACGGAAAAUUCAACCAAUCAAACGGGCCUAACUAAUAUUUAGGGUAUAAUAAUCUUUUUCACAUAGAAUUGCCUUGUUGAUGACCAAAUAGAAAAACAGUUGUGCUACCUGCAUAGACCCUUUUGCACAGGGUCUGUACAGGUGACAUGGGGGUGGACCCCACACAUGGUGUCCACCCCUAUGUGAGAGCCCCUAUACAAGCCUUGUGCAAAAGGGCCUGUGCAGGGAGUUUUAUUCAUAGAAAAAAUCUAACGGAAAGGACUAUCUCUGCACCUGAUCUCAUAUGGGAGUUGCAAUAAAAAUAAAUAAAUAAUUAAAAAAUAAAAAUACCGGGUCCAUUUUAUCACAAAUCUUAUAGGUUGGGGAGAAGUUAUGGAAAUUUUUGAGUCACUUUUUAUGUUAAAUUGACUAUUACACCCUUAAUUUUAGAUAGACAAAAGAUAAAAAAUAAUAAAUAAAUUGCCAAGCUUCAUUCAUUAAUCAUUCCCACUCCCAUUGCUCCACUCUAUCCACCCAUGCCGUCAUACUGUCCUGGCUUGUUGGCCACGCCACAGCUCACCGCCCAACGUCAUGGAAGAAGAAAUCAUCAUCAAUUUUAAAUAUCUAGAAUUUGCUAGACUUUAAGCAUGUAGAAUAUUUUAGACUCGUUACUUGCUGGAAAUGAGGACCACCAUCAUUCAUGAUAAAUUUAGAAAACAUAAUUGUGAAGCCAAUGGAAGAAGUUUCCAGAAAAGUGUAAACAGUAAAUUCCACCGUCAUAUUUUGCCUAUAUAUAUGUGUUGGUUGAAUGAGAGUUGACGUUGCAUAUGGUUAAAAAUAAAAAAUGUCCUAUAGCAAACAGAUAAUUUAGGUAGUUUUAACAUUGUCUUGUUGUUCUUUCUUAGAUUGGAUUAUUAGAUUGAUUCUCUCUUAGCACUGAAACUCCCCCACCAUUCGCUUGUGGACCUUCAUUGCUCAAGUGGUUUAAGAGAUGUUUGGGAAUGUUUAGGAUCAUGUUUUGGAAAUCCAUGCUUUCAGAAGAGCAGAGAAUAUUAAAUUAAACAUCACUCAAAUAACAUUUAGUUUAUAAUAUGUGUAUCAUAUUAUACUUCGGCUGUAUUAAAUUUAAUUUGAUUUUCUUGACUGCAGGCUGCUUGUGACAAGGUCUUAAACAAUCCAGAAGCUGAUUUUGAUGAUGAUUUUAUCGACAUUGAAGCCUUGUUGGAUGAAGACACCUUCAUGCCUACGACAUCUUAAACUUGUCCAUAUUGCUGUAUCGUUUGUAAAAUCUCCACAUAGCUCAGUUAAUAGGUCAAAUUACGUAAUUAUGUUGCACUGGUUGCUCGUAAAUUAGAUUUGAUCGAUUUAUUUAUGCUUAUAUUUAUAGUGGCGAGAACCAACGGAUAAGAGUCGGUACUGGUGCUAAAGAUUAACUCUAUGUAUUUAUGGAGAUUGCUAAGUAAUGCUAAUGUGACAUCUUUAACAUCUCUCCGUGUUUUCACAGUUUUGCUUUUAAUAUAAUGUAAGUUGUCGCAUUACUUUAAUACCAUGUUUGGU
rnacentral:lncRNA from 1 species